GACGUAGGGCGCGAGCGUUGUCCGGAUUUAUUGGGCGUAAAGAGCUCGUAGGCGGCUCGGUAAGUCGGAUGUGAAACCUCCAGGCUCAACCUGGAGACGCCAUCUGAUACUGCCGUGGCUUGAGUCCGGUAGAGGAGCAGGGAAUUCCUGGUAUAGCGGUGAAAUGCGCAGAUAUCAGGAGGAACACCGGUGGCGAAGGCGGUUCUCUGGGCAUUACCUGACGCUGAGGAGCGAAAGUGUGGGGAGCGAACAGG
rnacentral:rRNA from 1 species